rnacentral:rRNA from 1 species
UGGGGGAUAUUGCACAAUGGGCGAAAGCCUGAUGCAGCGACGCCGCGUGGGGGAUGAAGGCCUUUGGGUUGUAAACUUCUUUUGCUCUGAACAAGGCGCACCAUGGGGUGUGUUGAGUGUAGGGGUUGAUUAGCGCCGGCUAACUACGUGCCAGCAGCCGCGGUAAUACGUAGGGCGCGAGCGUUGUCCGGAAUUAUUGGGCGUAAAGGGCUUGUAGGUGGCUGGUUGCGUCUGUCGUGAAAGCUCAUGGCUUAACUGUGGGUUUGCGGUGGGUACGGGCUGGCUUGAGUGCAGUAGGGGAGGCUGGAAUUCCUGGUGUAGCGGUGGAAUGCGAAGAUAUCAGGAGGAAUACCGGUGGCGAAGGCGGGUCUCUGGGCUGUUACUGACACUGAGGAGCGAAAGCAUGGGGAGCGAACAGG